CUUGGGCUUACUCUCCUUACCCUCCUCGCCUACCCACGGGAAAAUAUUUUAAAUAGGCUCAAGCUCAAUCAUUCAAACUACAAAAUUAUAGUAGGAAUUACAUCAGAAGUGAAUUCAGAAGUGAAUUCAGAUAUCAAGUCGGCCAAUAACUUGCCAUUCAAUUUCAAAUAACUCCGUUUUUCUCUCUUGACUUCUCAUUUUAAAAUGAAGGGUGUGAACUGCACCGGGCAGGUUGUGCCGAGUCGCUCCUCAGUGUUUCAGACCGGGAGGGUGCGCCCGGUACGGGGAUGCGGUGACAGAAGUAACAGCUGCUUCCACUUGGUCUUCAUAAGCGCAGCGCGGUUCUAAGGAAAAGAAGUUUGGGAUCUACCCCUUGACUGGUUCAGCCACUUAACAGCUCUGACCACAAUUCUUCGUUAGCAAUGGGUGGAUAUGAAAUGCAUUUCUGAAGUAGGCUGUGAAAAUUGAGAAAGGGAAACCUCACUAACGUGGCAUCGGGAGAGAAGGGGAAAGUUUAUUACAGACCCCACAGAAGAAUCCUCAACAGGAAGGAAUCAUCAAUGACAGACCCCAGCAGGGGAAGAUGGGCAUUGCAUCGCCUACAAGAAAUUGCCUAUUCCUGCAGCUCAGCCCAGGAGAGGCCACCACCCUGAACACACUUCCUUUGAGUGUUUGUUUCCUUUUACACAAAAUGGACUUCCUUAAGAACAACCCCUCACAGCCUCCCCAUUUUCCUUUAUAACUUUCCUUUUUUUGUUGGACUUCGCUUGAUUUUACAUAGCUUGCACAUACUGAAUUGCAAUUCUCUGCUGUUUCUGAAUAAAUCCAUUUUUGCUGGUUAAA